GCGCCCGUAGCUCAACGGAUAGAGCAUCUGACUACGGAUCAGAAGGUUAGGAGUUCGAAUCUCUUCGGGCGCAC
rnacentral:tRNA from 2 species